rnacentral:rRNA from 1 species
AGAGUUUGAUCCUGGCUCAGAACGAACGCUGGCGGCGUGCCUAACACAUGCAAGUCGUACGUGAAAGUUUCCUUCGGGAGGCAAGUAGCGUGGCGAAUGGGUGAGUAACACGUGGGCAACCUACCUGAAGGAAGGGGAUAACCCCGGGAAACUGGAGAUAAUACCCUAUGAAUCUGUGCAUUAUAAAAUGCAUAGGGAAAGAUGGCCUCUGUUUUAUGCUAUCACCUUCAGACGGGCCCGCGGCCUAUCAGGUAGUUGGUGGGGUAAUGGCCUACCAAGCCUAAAACGGGUAGUUGGCGUGAGAGCGCGAUCAACCACACUGGCACUGAAACACGGGCCAGACUCCUACGGGAGGCAGCAGUGAGGAAUAUUGGGCAAUGGGGGAAACCCUGACCCAGCGACGCCGCGUGGAGGAUGGAGCUUUUCGGAGUGUAAACUCCUGUUAGAGGGGAAGAAGGCUUUGCGAACCAAUAAUUUGCAAAGCUUGACGGUACCCUCAGAGAAAGCACCGGCUAACUACGUGCCAGCAGCCGCGGUAAGACGUAGGGUGCGAGCGUUGUUCGGAAUUACUGGGCGUAAAGGGCGCGUAGGCGGUUUGAUAAGUCAAGAGUGAAAGUUAUAGGCUCAACCUAUAAAAUGCUCUUGAAACUAUCAAACUUGGGUCCGGAAGAGGGAAGCGGAAUUCCCGGUGUAGGGGUGAAAUCCGUAGAUAUCGGGAGGAACACCAGCGGCGAAGGCGGCUUCCUAGGACGGUACCGACGCUGAGGCGCGAAAGCGUGGGGAGCAAACAGGAUUAGAUACCCUGGUAGUCCACGCCCUAACGAUGGAUGUUAGGUGUAGGGAUAUUUUCUCUGUGCCGUAGCUAACGUGUUAAACAUCCCGCCUGGGGACUACGGCCGCAAGGCUA